CCUACGGGGGGCUGCAGUAAGGAAUAUUGGUCAAUGGACGCAAGUCUGAACCAGCCAUGCCGCGUGGAGGAUGAAGGUCCUCUGGAUUGUAAACUUCUUUUAUUUGGGAAGAAACUCCCGAUUUCCAUCGGGAUUGACGGUACCAGAUGAAUAAGCACCGGCUAACUCCGUGCCAGCACCCGCGGUAAUACGGAGGGUGCAAGCGUUAUGGGGUUUCACUGGGCGUAGAGGGUGCGGAGGUGGAGUGGUGAAAUCUCCGGGCUUAACCCGGAAGCUGCCAUUGAUACUAUUUGUCUUGAAUACUCUGGAGGUGAGCGGAAUAUGUCAUGUAGCGGUGAAAUGCUUAGAUAUGACAUAGAACACCCAUUGCGAAGGCAGCUCACUACGGAAAUAUUGACGCUGAGGCACGAAAGCGUGGGGAUCAAACAGGAUUAGAUACCCCAGUAGUC
rnacentral:rRNA from 1 species